AGCCUAAUGCCACGUCACCUGUAGCUCCAUGCAAUGACUUGUGAUGCUAUGAUUAGGCUGAUAUCAAGUUAUUUCUUAAUGUUUCGCAUAUUGAUAGGAAUCUAUGGAUCAUAUUUGCAUUUGAUUCAUGGGGCCGUUUCCUGCGAUUACACUU